CGGGGCGUGGCGCAGUUGGUAGCGCACCUGGUUUGGGACCAGGAAGUCGCUGGUUCGAGUCCAGUCGCCCCGA
rnacentral:tRNA from 1 species